CUGGAUCAUCUGGUCAGUGGCUUCUGACUCAGAGGACCUUCGUCCCCUAGAGCAGUGGGCCUUCCAGUGAUUGCCUUGACAUAAGGGGCAUGGACAAGGGGGCAGUUUAUUUCUAGUCAGACAACCUUUUUUAAAGUGUCCUUGUAGACCGCACUGGAAACAAGCCCUAUUAGGCAUUCGAUUUGCCCAGUCUUUCCCUUUUUCAGAGCCUCCAAAGUCCUCUUGCCUGAAGGCCGUGACUAAAGUAGUGGCCUUUUCUUUUUUUUUUUAACCCCGUUUGUCCCAUUCCACCUGCUCCUGAUCGCUAUUAUAAAAAACCAAGGUUGCCAAGUUCAAUAGGGUUUCUAAGUUUUACUCUGGGCCUAAGGCAGACUUUUGAAGUUUUUUCUAAUGUCUGCAGCUGACUGAGUGAUAAACUUAUCCUUUAAGAUUAGUUGGUCUUUAAUAGAGUCAGGUGACAGAGAGGUGUGCCUCCUCAAUGCCUCCCUUAGUCUCCCCAGAAAGACAGUAGGAUUUUCUUCCUUUCCUUGUAUUAUAGUGGACAUCAUUGAAUAUUUCAUAGGCUUCUUCCUAGUUUUCCUUAGUCCUUCCAGCACGCAAGUUAGCAAAUGUCUGUGGCACCAAUCUCCAUGUUCUGAUUCUGCGUACCAGUGAGGGUCUACACUGAGAACUGCCUGCUGGCCUGUGGGGAAUUUUUCUCUUUCCUGUUGUCAUCCUAUCAUUGACCUGACUGAGAUACCAGAGAUCAUCAAACUCUCAGGCUGCAGUUAUGGAGGCACUUCUCUCAUUUGGAGUUAGUGUCUCAUCUAGCAGUAACAUUAUAUCUCUCCAUGUCAGAUCAAAGGAUUGUCCUAACCCUUGUAAAACAUCAAUAUAACCAUCAGGGUUAUCUGAGAAUUUACCUAGUCUAUUUUAAUUUGUUUCAAGUCUGAGAGGGAAAAAGGUACAUACACUCUGACUGGCCCGAAUUCUCCAGAAUACAUCUUAGGGGUGUUUUGGCUUGUGGGAAAGUUUCCCAUCUGAAUAAAGAACAUAGGGAUGACAGCACCCCUAGUCAUUUUCUGAUGAGCAUUAGUCCUAGAGCAUCCUCUGUGGUCAUAAUACUUACUCCUUUCCAAGAUGCAUAACCACCCAUGGACCUCUGCUUAUCAGAUUAGUUAUGCUCACCGAUGUAGCAGUCCUGCACCUGUUUUCCUGCCUUUCUUGACAACAAAGAAAGGGGUCCAGGCUGCUGGAUUCUAGUGGUCUUUUACCAGCAUGCCCAACAUUGCCUUUGCACUCAGAGGUGAGUUCUAGAGCUGGGCUAGGUUCCUGAGUAUUUCAUAACAACCCAGCUACCCCAUCAAGAUGCACUCCCAUAAACAACUGUCCUUAUGCAAAUUCAUUUCAGAGAGGAUGUAGGUAACCUUUUGAGUCAGGAUUGAGAUAGAGUUGUUUUUUUUUUUAAAGAUAACCACUUUUCCAAAGUGAACUUCCUUUAUGUCUGUGGACUAAACUGUCUAAGGCCACAAGACUAGAAGUUAGGAUAAUACAUGUUACACCGUUAACUUUUAGCAAACUUUACUUCUGUUUAAACCCUUGUAAGUUUGGAAUUUCAAUUAUCCUUUGCUGUCUAUAAGACCUUGUUUAGUCUAAAUUAACUUAGAAUUGGUAUAGAUGGUUCCUUCCUGGUUCUGUACUUUAAGGCUUGACGGAGUGCAAACAGCUUGCAUGUUUGAGCAGACCAAUUAUUAGGCAAUUUUUCUAACUCUGCUUCUACAAGAGUUUCCCUAUCAAUUACUGAAUACCCAUUGUGUGUGUGUGUGUGUCUGUGUGUGUGUGUGUGUCUGUGUGUGUGUGUGUGUUUCCUCAAUCACAUGGGAGGAGCCAUCUAUUGUCCUGUCCUGAAUGGAGUUCCUGCUAGGUCUGGUCGGCCCUCUGUAUGGUAAUUAAGAUUUAAUUCCCUCGUUAGGAAAUCUGCUGGGUUAAGGGAAUUUUCAGUGGUUAAUGUUAAAUCACCUUUUCCUCACAGAAUAUCCCCAGACUUUAAGAUUUUUGAGUUAGUAAGCUACAUUUUUGCUUUUUUUUUCUUAGGAUAGCUCUGAACUGGUGAGGUGUGCUCACAAUGAGGUUUCUUCUAAAAGAAAGUUAUUUGUCUACUUUCUUCUGCUAGGAAAGCAGUUGCUGCUACAGACUGAAUGCAAUUGGGCCAUCUGUGGGUUACUGGGUUAGGAUUUUUGAUAGGAAGGCUACUGGUUGUCAAUGGUCUUGAGAGGUGAACCCAGCUGGACUUCUGGGUUGGGUGGGGACUUGGAGAACUUUUGUGUCUAAAGGAUUUUUGUGUCUAAAGAAUUGUAAAUGCACCAAUUAGUGCUCUGUGUCUAGCUAAAGGAUUGUAAAUGCACCAAUCAGCACUCUAUAAAAUGGACAAAUCAGUGCUCUGUAAAAUGGACCAAUCAGCAGGAUGUGGGCAGGGCCAAAUAAGGGAAUAAAAGCUACUGGAGCCAGCCAGGCAACCCACUCAGGUCCCUUAUGCUGUGGAAGCUUUGGGCUUUCGCUCUUCACAGCAAAUCUUACUGCUGCUCACUCUUUGGGUCCACACUACCUUUAUGAGCUGUAACACUCACCACGAGGGUCUGUGGCUUCAUUCCUGAAGUCAGUGAGACCAUGAACCCACCAGGAGGAACAAACAACUCUAGAUGUGCCACCUUUAAGAGCUGUAACACUCACUGCAAAGGUCUCCAGCUUCACUCCUGAAGUCCUCAAGACCACAAACCCACUGGAAGGAAGAAACUCUGGACACAUCUGAACAUCUGAAGGAACAAACUCCAGACACACCAUCUUUAAGAGCUAUAACACUCACUGCAAGGGUCUGCAGAUUCAUUCUUGAAGUCAGCAAGACCAAGAACCCACUGGAAGGAAUAAAUUCCAGACACAUUUUGGUGACUACGAUAGGUGCUCACCUAUCACCAAGUGGUGGAUUUUGGAAACACAGUGGAAGGAUGUUCACUCGUUGCCCCCAUUUCCACUAUAGGAAUAUGUGCCUCCCUUUAACUUACUCAAUUCAUUUUCAUCCUGAUUUGUUAUGUUGUCAUAGACCCAGUUCCAGUUGUUAAAGUACUGGGUUAUCAGUUCUAAGGCCCUGGACAAGGAUCCAAGGCUUGGAGAUUGUAUUGCAGUGGGGUUAAGCUGGGUAGAAAUUGGAGAGGAGAAAUCU